GUCUAGUGGUUAGGAUUCGGCGCUCUCACCGCCGCGGCCCGGGUUCGAUUCCCGGUCAGGAAAGUAAGCCGUUUUAAAAACUGUUGCCGCAGGGCUAACCAUAGGUGAUGUUCCCAGAGUCAGCUAUGACUUGACUUCUAAACAAAGGGCAAAACGCACCUGGUGUCCUCAUUUUGCAGAGUAGUUACCUGAAAUGGACUCUACUGCAGUUUAUGCGCGCCGUAUAUGUAGUCAGUG
rnacentral:lncRNA from 1 species